rnacentral:rRNA from 1 species
AUUGAACGCUGGCGGCAGGCCUAACACAUGCAAGUCGAACGAGUGGCGGACGGGUGAGUAAUGUCUGGGAAACUGCCUGAUGGAGGGGGAUAACUACUGGAAACGGUAGCUAAUACCGCAUACCAUCAGAUGUGCCUAUAUGGGAUUGGCUAGUUGGUGGGGUAACGGCUCACCAAGGCAACGAUCCCUAGCUGGUCUGAGAGGAUGACAAGCAACACUGGGACUGAGACACGGUCCAGACUCCUACGGGAGGCAGCAGUGGGGAAGUUUGCACAAUGGGCGCAAGCCUGAUGAAGCCAUGCCGCGUGUAUGAAGAAGGCCUUCGGGUUGUAAAGUACUUUCGGCGGGGAGGCGUUACCCGCAGAAGAAGCACCGGCUAACUCCGUGCCAGCCGCCGCGGUAAUAC